UCCUGGUUAACCCAGGCAGUCUCAUUAGAGUUCCCAGCAUUACCUGUUGGCAACUAACGACAAGGGUUGCGCUCGUUGCGGGACUUAACCCAACACCUCACGGCACGAGCUGACGACAGCCAUGCAGCACCUGUUUAGCAGUCCCGAAGGAAGGCGCUAUCUCUAGCGCUGUCUACUAUAUGUCAAGCCUAGGUAAGGUUCUUCGCGUUGCAUCGAAUUAAACCACAUGCUCCACUGCUUGUGCGGGUCCCCGUCAAUUCUUUUGAGUUUCACCCUUGCGAGUGUACUCCCCAGGCGGUAUACUUAUCGCGUUAGCUACGGCACAGCUGGGGUUGAGACCAGCUACACCAAGUAUACAUAGUUUACGGUUAGGACUAC
rnacentral:misc_RNA from 1 species